AACGAACGCUGGCGGCAUGCCUAACACAUGCAAGUCGAACGAGACCUUCGGGUCUAGUGGCGCACGGGUGCGUAACGCGUGGGAACCUGCCCUUAGGUUCGGAAUAACUCCCCGAAAGGGGUGCUAAUACCGGAUAAUGUCUUCGGACCAAAGAUUUAUCGCCUUUGGAUGGGCCCGCGUUGGAUUAGCUAGUUGGUAGGGUAAAAGCCUACCAAGGCGACGAUCCAUAGCUGGUCUGAGAGGAUGAUCAGCCACACUGGGACUGAGACACGGCCCAGGCUCCUACGGGAGGCAGCAGUGGGGAAUAUUGGACAAUGGGCGAAAGCCUGAUCCAGCAAGGCCGCGUGAGUGAUGAAGGCCUUAGGGUUGUAAAGCUCUUUUACCCGGGAUGAUAAUGACAGUACCGGGAGAAUAAGCUCCGGCUAACUCCGUG
rnacentral:rRNA from 1 species